rnacentral:rRNA from 1 species
GACGAACGCUGGCGGCGUGCUUAACACAUGCAAGUCGAACGGUGAAGGGACCGGUUUUUGCUGGUUCUGGAUGAGUGGCGAACGGGUGAGUAACACGUGAGUAACCUGCCCCCUUCUUCUGGAUAACCGCAUGAAAGUGUGGCUAAUACGGGAUAUUCUGCGCCUGCUGCAUGGUGGGUGUGGGAAAGUUAUUGUUUCGGUGGGGGCUGGGCUCGCGGCCUAUCAGCUUGUUGGUGGGGUGAUGGCCUACCAAGGCGGUGACGGGUAGCCGGCCUGGGAGGGUGGACGGUCAUACUGGGACUGAGACACGGCCCAGACUCCGACGGGAGGCAGCAGUGGGGAAUAUUGCACAAUGGGCGCAAGCCUGAUGCAGCGACGCCGCGUGAGGGAUGGAGGCCUUCGGGUUGUAAACCUCUUUCGCCAGUGAAGCAGGCCUGUCCCUUUUGUGGGUGGGUUGACGGUAGCUGGAGAAGAAGCGCCGGCUAACUACGUG